rnacentral:rRNA from 1 species
AUGACUGGACGAAACCAAGAAAUAACCCCUUAUGUGCGAAAUUAUAGAAGAUCCCCUUUAAGAUCAAACAAUUCCAUCGAAUUGAGUAUGAUUGUAUGUGUGAUAGCAUCUACUAUACCAGGAAUAUCAAUGAACCCCAUUCUUGCAAUUGCUCAGGAUACCCUCUUUUAG